rnacentral:rRNA from 1 species
UACGGAGGGUGCAAGCGUUUGUUCGGAAUUAUUGGGCGUAAAGCGCGCGCAGGCGGUCGAAAAAGUCUAUGGGUAAAAGGCCGGGGCUCAACCCCGUGUACGCCCAGGAUACUGUUCGACUGGAGACACGUAGAGGCAAGCGGAAUUUCGGGUGUAGCGGUGGAAUGCGUAGAUAUCCGAAAAGAACACCGGAGGCGAAGGCGGCUUGCUGGGCGUGAUCUGACGCUGAGGCGCGAAAAGCGUGGGGAGCAAACAGG